rnacentral:rRNA from 1 species
CAGUCGCCGCGGUAAUACGGAGGGUGCAAGCGUUAUCCGGAUUUAUUGGGUUUAAAGGGUCCGUAGGCGGACUUAUAAGUCAGUGGUGAAAGCCUGUCGCUUAACGAUAGAACUGCCAUUGAUACUGUAAGUCUUGAGUAUAUUUGAGGUAGCUGGAAUAAGUAGUGUAGCGGUGAAAUGCAUAGAUAUUACUUAGAACACCAAUUGCGAAGGCAGGUUACCAAGAUAUAACUGACGCUGAGGGACGAAAGCGUGGGUGCGAACAGGAUUAGAUACCCCGGUAGUCCCUGUCUCUUAUACC